rnacentral:rRNA from 1 species
GAUGAACGCUGGCGGCGUGCCUAAUACAUGCAAGUCGAGCGAACAGACGAGGAUCUUUCUCCUCUGACGUUAGCGGCGGACGGGUUAGUAACACGUGGAUAACCUACCUAUAAGACUGGGAUAACUUCGUGAAACCGGAGCUAAUACCGGAUAAUAUAUUUAACCGCAUUGUUCUAUUGUUUAAUUCGUUUUUUCUUUCUCUUCUAUAUUGAUCCUCGCCGCAUUAUCUAGUUGGUAAGUUAACGGCUUACCAAGGCAACGAUUCGUAGCCGACAUGAGAGGGUGAUCGGCCAAACUGGAAGUGAGAAAGGGACAAGAGUACUACGGGAGGCAGCAGAAGGGAAUAUUCCGAAAUGGGCGAAAGCAUGAAGGAGCAAGGCCGAGUGAGAGAUGAAGGACAUCGGAGCGUAAAACUCUGUUAUUAGGGAAGAACAAAUGUGUAAGUAAAUAUGCACGUAUUGACGGUAACUAAUCAGAAAGCCACGGCUAACUACGUG